ACAAUAUGAUGAGCCUUGGAAAUUGUGACAAGCUAAUAGUUAAUAAACAAAGAAGCUCCCCGCGGCCCGUACUAGGGGAAUUCGGAUUCGAGAACGCAAAACCUUUCGCUAGAGGGCCUGUAUUCAUAUCGAACGAAAGAACUUUUUCCCCUCUUCGCGUAAACACUAUUGGCCGUAAAACAUAAAAUACACUGCGAACAUAAUUCCCUUAUCGAUUUUUUGUGCGACAGAUUGCUUAAAUAGUUUCCUGAUAACGAGAAGAAAUUUUGCGCAUGUGAUAGUUAAUACACAAUAGAAUUCCUAUUCGAUUAAGCUGGAAUGACUGUAAUGAUCAACAACGAUUUUUGCAUUAACGGCUCCAAACGAAAUGACACGCCUCACUAGCUAUGUAAGGAAAAAACCAAAUAGUUAAGUUUAUAUUAAUUAACUACUUGCAAAGAUUUUCAAUUGUAAACAGAGAUCCACCUUUAUGUGAUGUUAUAGGAAUAUGAUAGUGUGAACUAAUUAAGACAUUCAGUUCCAACAUUAGGGAAGUCUGGAAGGUAAUGGAACUCUGAAAAUUGCCAGAGAAAUCAAUUGGCAAUGUUCUUAAUCUAUUUUGUUUUGUUUGAUGAUGUUGGGGAACCAGGCCUAGAACCCUCACGACCUUCCUCUGGUGUCAGUGGUGAUGUCCAGCGCUGAUGAACUUCAGGAGUGAAGUUUGUUAUUUGAACAUGAACAGCCUGAUAUUUUUCCAUUCUAGGGGGAAUUUGUAGCUUCCGAAAAGAUACUUCAUCCCCUACUCUUGGGACAUAUUCUCCAUCAAUGCUAACCAAAUAAACAAACUUUGUGAGUAUAAUGUGUGACAUGUAGUCUUUAGGAAGGAAUAACAUACUCAGAAACAUGGACAAAUAUAUCAUCACCAUCAUCUUUCUUGAUGAAACCAUGGCCCUUUACUCUGCAAAAACUUUUGAUUACCCCAUGUUCAACUGGGUGCUCCAACGCCAGCUCGAGCCUUUAAUUACAAAUGAUUUAUCACAUUUUAUAUUAAAAAUAAGCUUGAAACUUAGUUAUAAGAAUUACAUAGAUAAGGUUCUCGUCCUUUUUGUUAUAAUAGGAUUCGGAAUUAAGGAACUUCUUGAUGGCGAUUCACUAAUCGACCCCAUAGAAGUAUUCGGAGACCGAGCGGGGGACGGUAUUUCUUUGGGAAAAGACAUAUUCGACACUUGAUACUGAAAAUA